rnacentral:misc_RNA from 1 species
UCGCAGCCCGGCUUGAACGGAGCUCUUUUUGUAAGGAGGAACGACGAGCAAAAAAGCGGGAGUGGAAGACGGAAAUAGC